rnacentral:rRNA from 1 species
CCCCGAUGGGGGAAAGGCUUCGGCCGCUCUGAGAGGGGCCCGCGUCCAAUUAGCUAGUUGGUGGGGUAAUGGCCUACCAAGGCUGCGAUCGGUAGCUGGUCUGAGAGGAUGAUCAGCCACACUGGGACUGAGACACGGCCCAGACUCCUACGGGAGGCAGCAGUGGGGAAUAUUGGACAAUGGGGGAAACCCUGAUCCAGCCAUGCCGCGUGAGUGAGGAAGGCCUUAGGGUUGUAAAGCUCUUUCACCCGUGACGAUGAUGACGGUAGCGGGAGAAGAAGCCCCGGCUAACUCCGUGCAGCAGCCGCGGUAAGACGGAGGGGGCUAGCGUUGUUCGGAAUUACUGGGCGUAAAGCGCGCGUAGGCGGCCGGUCAAGUUAGGCGUGAAAGGCCUGGGCUCAACCUGGGAACGGCGCUUAAGACUGAUCGGCU